rnacentral:rRNA from 1 species
GUGCCAGCCGCGGCGGUGACACGUAGGCACCAAGCGUUGUCCGGAUUUAUUGGGCGUAAAGAGCUCGUAGGCGGUUCAGUAAGUCGGGUGUGAAAACUCAGGGCUCAACCCUGAGCUGCCACCCGAUACUGCUGUGACUUGAGUCCGGUAGGGAGUGGGAAUUCCUGGUGUAGCGGUGAAAUGCGCAGAUAUCAGGAGGAACACCGGUGGCGAAGGCGCCACUCUGGGCCGAGACUGACGCUGAGGAGCGAAAGCGUGGGUAGCAAACAGGAUUAGAUACCCUGGUAGUCCACGCCGUAAACGUUGGGCACUAGGUGUGGGUUCCAACCAACGGAAUCCGUGCCGUCGCUAACGCAUUAAGUGCCCCGCCUGGGGAGUACGGCCGCAAGGCUAAAACUCAAAGGAAUUGACGGGGCCCGCACAAGCAGCGGAGCGUGUUGCUUAAUCGAUGAUACGCGAAGAACCUUACCUGGGUUUGACAUGUACGGAAAAGCCGCAGAGAUGCGGUGUCCUUCGGGGUCGUACGACAGGUGGU